rnacentral:lncRNA from 1 species
CCCAAUUUACCCAGGCCCGUACAAACCAAAUUCCCAAUCCAAUAGCCCAAAUAUUAACCCUAAUUACAAGCCCAAAACACCAACAGCCCAACAAGCCCAAAAUUUAACAAAUUUCAGCCAAAUCAAAAAUCAAAAACCCUAAUAGCCGCCGCAACUGUCACCCUCUUUUUGCGCGCUUCUACUCCCAGCAACCCCUGUCACCGCUCGACUCGAAGCCAGGGUCCCUUCUGCGCGAUUUGUGCCUCCACGUAUAUGCGCCCUCUUCACCACCGAACCUGCAAAAAUAGAGGCACACAAGUGCAGCAAAUAAUGGAAAAUAAGUGGGUUUU